rnacentral:rRNA from 1 species
UAGUCAUAUGCUUGUCCCAAAGAUUAAGCCAUGCAAGUGCAAGUAUAAACCAAAAAAGGGUGAAACUGCGAAAGGCUCAUUAAAUCAGUAAUAAUUUACGUGAUGAAGAAAGAUUACAUGGAUAACCGUGGUAAUUCUAGGGCUAAUACAUGCAGAGAGGGAGACCUCAAAAGUAUUUAUUAGAUAAAAACCAGCAAAAAAAGGGGAAACAUAAUAACUAGACAGAUCGUAUGGCCACGAGCCGACGACGCAUCACACAAAUAUCUGCCCUAUCAACUGUUGAUGGUAGGAUAGAGGCCUACCAUGGUGUUGACGGGUAACGGGGAAUUGGGGUUCGAUUCCGGAGAGGGAGCCUGAGAAAUGGCUACCAUUUCCAAGGAAGGCAGCAGGCGCGCAAAUUACCCAAUCCCGACACGGGGAGGUAGUGACAGGAAAUAACGAUGCUGAGCUGUAAAGGUUUGGCAAUUGGAAUGAGAAAAAUGUAAAGGAUAUAACGAGUAACGAUU